AUUGAACGCUGGCGGCAGGCCUAACACAUGCAAGUCGAGCGCGCGGCGGACGGGUGAGUAAUGUAUGGGGACUGCCCGCUAGAGGGGGAUCACUACUGGGGACGGUGGCUAAUACCGCAUACUGUCGGAUAACCCAUCUGGGGUUAGCUUGUGGGGGGGGUAAAGUCUCACCUAGGCGACUAUCUCUAGCUGGUCUGAGAGGAUGAUCACACACACUGGGACUGCGCCACGGCCCAGACUCCCACGGAGGGAGCAGUGGGGAACAUUGCACAAUGGGCGCAAGCCUGAUGCAGCCAUGCCGCGGGUAAGAAGAAGGCCUUAGGGUUGUAAAGGACGCUCAGCGGGGAGGCGUUACCCGCAGAAGAAGCACCGGCUACCUCCGUGCCAGCAGCCGCGGUAAUAC
rnacentral:rRNA from 1 species